UCGGAUCAUCGGGCAUAGGCCUAUACGGUGUCGUUUUGAAGCCACUGACAUAGGCUUAAAACGGCACCGUUUCUUGAACUAUAUAAAACGGUAAAUAAACCCUAAAAUUUGAAGCAAAUAUCCUUCCACCAUUUUAGUCUCAGCCGCAAGUGUGAAACGCUUCCCCUCUCCACCGUUUCUAGCUUUACCGAUUUGCUCUCAGAACCUCUGCCCAUACUUCGAUCACGGCGAAGGGAGCAGAGAUCUGACGGCCUAAAACUGGAAGGUAAGUCUCUCCCCUGCUUCUUUUUAUUUUAUAUGCUUAUGUAUGUGUUUAUAACAAAACAAAGAACAAAAGAAAGAAGAACGAUAAAAAUAAAAAACAGAAUCGCAAAGAGAGAAAGAAACCUUUGUUGUAUUGAUUUUUUUUUAGUUUGUUUUUUUUUUACAAUCUAUGCCUCUUACAUUGUUUUUGGCUUCCUAUAUAGCCGAGUUACAGAAAAAAGGAAAAAGAAAUCCUAAAAGAAAAAUCAACGAACCAAUCCCAAAAAUCCCCUCUGUUCCCUUUUCUGUCCAUUUUUUGGUCGCUCCCUUCGUGUGUAUUUCUGCUGUUGCUGGUUGUGUGCAGGUGUACGGGCGUACGAGGGCCAGCUGGGACGUGGCGUGGCUCGUGUGAGGCAUCGCGCGUGGUGGGCACGCGACGGGGAGGCAUGCGGCGCCAAGAGGGUUAAGGAACCCUAGGUUUUUUCAGAUUUGUUUGAUUUUUUGGGCUUGAUUUGGGUUAAGGGUUUUGGGCCUUAUUGGGUUUGUUUAAUUUUGGGCUUGGUUUGUUAAGCAUUGGGUCCGGGCAAAAGUUGGGCCCUACACUCUUUUUUACACAAUUCCUAAAACUACCUAUAACUCCUCUUUAACUUAUAUAUAAAAGGAUAAUGCGCUUCAAUAUACUCAAACUCACGUUCUCCUGUAUUAACAAUAAUACUCAUGUCAAUCAAAUUACUCAAUUGACAAUUUAUUUGUUUCUUAAAUAUACAUAAUUAAAUAUACGUAGCAUGUUAUAAAUAUUACAUCAUGUCAAUAUAUGUCAUUCUCAUUCAAAU
rnacentral:lncRNA from 1 species